rnacentral:ncRNA from 1 species
AAUUGAAAAAGGCAAACUAUUCGAAAGGGUAGGACGCAAAGCCUAGGGACUAAGGUUUUGGAGGAACAAUUCAAAAUGAUGUCAGCCUGGUUACCAAC